ensembl:lncRNA
AGGAAGUAGUUUUGUUGUUUUUUUUUUAACUAAAUUUUCAUCAACAACCAGAACUCACUCCUCACCACCACAGACAACGUUCCUUACAAAGAGAACUGCUUUGUCUGUCAUAUUCAAGGGAGGCAAUCUCUGGCCCCAUCUCUCCCACUCCUGCAUAUAAGAACAUUAUCAGGUUGAAAUAUCUGAUCUACACACCUCAGAUAAGAGAGAAAAGGAGUAGGCAACCGGGAACUGAGCUGAGGAGAGCCAGGGAGAAGAAAAACUCAGAAGGAGAUAGAACCCAUCAAAAAAAGCCCUACUAUGGCACCAGACCAGGACCACCUCCCAAGAAGGCAGCAGGACCGAGGACGCCGGUAGACAUAAAGACCACUUGGACCAGGAGCUGUAGCUCAGCGGGCAUCCUUCUGAUGGAGAUCUGUGAUGUGUCUCCUGUGUGCUGGGUGUGGCCAUCCUUUCCCCAGACAGCGGCCCUCACGACCAGGUGGAAGCCAGCGGUCGGCGCAGCCUGGACCAGUGCAGUGAAAACAAAAGCACUGGGGGCCAGCACCACGGGACCUUUGGUCACUCAGGAUCUCCUCCUUUCUGGGGAAGCAAUGUUCCCCAACCUUGGAGGAGCUGGUCAGGAUUAUUAUUAAACCAGAUGCUUUGGAGAACUGGACCAAAUGAAUCUGGGAAAGUCUAUUCCUUUGGUAAAUCUGCCAGACUACCUUCCAUCACCUUAGACUAAUUGGUUUGAUUCUCAGGAAGCAUGCCUUUUUAAAGGGGCAUCAUUGGACAGGACAGGAUGGCAAAGUUGUACUUUUUUGCCUAAAGCUGGCAUCUUGCUCCUCCUUUCCCCUUAAACUCCACCGGCCCAUGGUCAGUGGCUUCACUGUCCUCCCCAUCUCCCAGGAGAGAAAACUGAGAGUCACCCCACGUAUCUCCCUCAGCCCCCCCCAUCUUCCAGUACCCA